rnacentral:guide_RNA from 1 species
AAACGCAUAACAGAAAUGAUUAGAACUGAGAUAUGAUUAAU